rnacentral:rRNA from 1 species
AUAGACAGAUUGAACUGAAGAGUUUGAUCCUGGCUCAGAUUGAACGCUGGCGGAAUGCUUUACACAUGCAAGUCGAGCGGCAGCGCGGGGGCAAC